rnacentral:rRNA from 1 species
UACGUAGGGUGCAAGCGUUGUCCGGAAUUAUUGGGCGUAAAGAGCUCGUAGGUGGCCUGUCGCGUCGGCUGUGAAAACUCGGGGCUCAACUCCGAGCUUGCAGUCGAUACGGGCAGGCUAGAGUUCGGCAGGGGAGACUGGAAUUCCUGGUGUAGCGGUGAAAUGCGCAGAUAUCAGGAGGAACACCGGUGGCGAAGGCGGGUCUCUGGGCAUUAACUGACGCUGAGGAGCGAAAGCAUGGGGAGCGAACAGG